rnacentral:rRNA from 1 species
GAUGAACGCUGGCGGCGUGCUUAACACAUGCAAGUCGAACGGGAUCCAAGGGGUGUUUGCACUUUUUGGUGAGAGUGGCGAACGGGUGAGUAACACGUGAGUAAUCUGUCCUUUUCUUUGGGAUAUUCAUUCGAAAGGGUGUUUAAUACCUUAUGUUCUGUCUGCCUCGCAUGGGGUGGGUGGGAACGGCUUUGCCCGGAUUUGGGUGGGCUGGCGGGCUAUCAGCGUGUUGGUGGGGUGAUGGCUUAUCAAGGCUAUGCCGGGUAGCGGACCUGAGAGGGGCUGCGGGGAUAGUGGGUCAGAUAGGGGCUGAGAACCGGUCCAGGCGGCUGCGGGAGGGAGCCGUGGGGGAUAUUGGACAAUGUGCGGAAGCCUGAUGGAGCGACGGCGCGUGGUGGAUGAAGGGUUACGGGUUGUAAUCUUCUUUUGCUCUGAACGAGGCAUGCCAGUGGGUGUGUUGAGGGGAGGGAUUGAUAAGCGCCGGCUAACUACGUG